rnacentral:lncRNA from 1 species
GCUUGGACUGUGAGAUAAACAGGACAUGCUCCAAGGAGUGGGCCGAUGGCCAGUGGACACAGCUGAAGAGGCAGCUGUGAGGAGGAGGAGGAGAGGUGGAAGGUUGGGGGGAAGGGGGAGGAAGGAGACAGAGAAGGAGGGAUGGGAGGUGAGUUACACGCUGCGGAGGGCAAAGUGCCCUGACAGCCACAAGAGUCACAGAGUGGGACCUCUCCCGGUUUGACAGAUGGACAGACAGGGCUGCGCCCCACUGGCAGGCUACGGCUCUUGAUGCAAGAGUUGGCGCACACACACACACACACACACACAUUGACGUUUGCUCAGGGAACGUACGCACAAACAUCUAUCUAAAGCCCAGCCACAUCGAAAAAAAUCAGGAAUGCAAUACGGAGGAGAGAAACAAAACAAACAAGGACAAAGUUGAAUCUCUUCCUUCAAGAAAUUAACACUUAAAAAUGUACCCUUCUGCUUUGUUUGACUUCAGCGCCGAGCCUUUGCAGAGAAAACAGAGAGGGCUGUCCGAGGCCAUUUGUCAGGGGGAAUAAAGCUAAAUCAAAUCCAAAGAUUUUAUUCCUUCGAUUUAAGACAGGGCCCGAAACCGCAGGGAGGUACCGGGCAUCGACUUGUGUGUAGAUCAGCUAGCCUUUGCUUUUCUCUCCACGUGGGACACAGAGGACAGUAUUGGCCGAGAUGUGAGACGUGCAAUGAAGCAUGUGGGGGUGCAGAGGUGGGGGGGAGAAUUCAAUCAGAGUUGACCAUCUGCCAGAUCGCUUGUAAUGCCAAAGGUGUUAUUCCUCUGUGAGAUAUCCUCAGCGCGGCGCAUGAAGCAAGAGUCUGGCAAAGUCAAAGUCAGGAAGCAUGACAGUACAAUUUAAAAAAUUUAAUACACCUUUCUGGGAUUUUAUUGUUUGGUUAUGUUGAAUUUAUAUCUUAAGAAAAAAAAAAAGCAAUGCACUGAGUAUGUCCUCUUCUACUCUCAAAGACCAAAGCAUGAAUUAUAAAGUUUAUGUUUCUGAGCUCUUCAAAUGAGUCCUAGUCCUCACAAGAUAAACUUAGUGGGGAUCUAAAAUGAAAUCUUAGAGAGGAGAAAUUGAUUUUUUCCGAUACCUGGUGGUGAGAUUGUAGAUCAAAACGCUCCCCUGCUACUUCAUUAUUGUGGCACCUUGAUGUCAAAUCUGCUGCAUGUGAAUUCAACUGCGAGGCCGCCUCAAGAGAUGAUAAUACGGUUAUAAAAUAAUAUGAAUUCCCUUUUUUUUACCACAAAUACCAUCACCCGGGAAACAAGAGAGAGAAGGCGGCGGAAAAGAGGUGAGGGGCUGGCAUAAUGACAUAACCACCGAUUGUGCUUAAUUGUUGGGUUAUUUAUAAAAGCGUCAGGAGUCAGAAUGAAGCGAGAGGGAGUGAAAGAAAGGAAUAAUUUCCAGGUCUUUCCAUCGCUCGCUCAUGUUAGAUUAAUGCUGAAAUCUUAGUAAAUAAUACAACAAAGAGCGCGGUCUAAACCUGCCUCUGUUAUAAAUUCAGUGCUCUGUAAUUAACAGCAGACGGACUGAUGAUUGAACUAAAAGAUAUUAAUGACUUUUAGAUUCCAGAUGCACUUUACAACUUUUUAAAUUAUAGAUAAACAUUUCUAAAUCCUUUUAAGUUCGUGUUUUAGCGAACGCCGCUGUCUGAUAACUUGAAUACUGAUAUUUUGACAUCCCCAUGCCAAGGCCACACUACAUAAUCUUUUAUCCAUUGCCAAGGUUACUGUGCAACGACAUACAUGACAGACUACCUGGCAGUACCUGACCAGUAAUCAUGACCAGUGCUGGGAAUGCUUAAUGCCACUUUCUCGCCGUUUUGGACUUUUUCUCGCCAACCUUUUCUAUUUUUAAGUCCCCCAUAGUCCUUUGAAGGCACAUCAUAAAGACUGGGAUAUUGUUCUCCGAGCUCCACAAAUUCUCCUUUCUCUCAAAGUUCGGUCUCACAGCAUCAACUUCAUGAGUCUUCCUCUCACUUUAACAGUUUGUUUUUUUUCUGCGCUCAUGACUCGCUCUGUGCGCAUGCCGGUCAUUGUUACUGACGAGAGGGAACACAUCAUAAAAGACAGAGAGAGAGAAAUGGAAUGUGCUUGAAUGUGUUUCUGUUGUUACUCUGAAGUGGAGCAGGUAUAUGUCUCAGGAAAUGGAUUCACAGCGACGUUUCAGGCCCUGAUGCAAGGAGGCUUCAGAAAAAGAUCAAUAAGUGCAAAGAGCAAGCCCUGCAACAGGUGUGCAUGUGUGUGUGUGUGCGUGUGUGUGUGUGUGUGUGUGUGUGUGUGUGUGUGUGUGUGUGUGUGUGUGUGUGUGUGUGUGCGCGCGCGCGCGCGCGUGUGUGUGUGUAGGUGGGUGAGGGAUAAACACAAGUGUCCAGAGAGGAUGUUGUGCAGCUGCAGAGCAUGUGUUAUUGUUGGGUUGUGCGGACAGUUGGAGUGGCUUUACUGAAACUGAGAAAAAUGCUUUUCAAGUGUUUGGACCGGACAGACUAAUAUGUUAUGUUGGAUCCAUGUGAAACUAUGUAUUUCUAGUCUUUUCCUGAAGGAAUUGAAAGACAAAAAAUAAAUAAAUAAAAAAACCUUAAAGUGGCCUAUGACCCCAAAAAUGCAGAGACUGGAAAGACAAAGUACAGUGGCUAAAGUGUAAAUGUGUUAGAUUCUGUCUCUUCUUUUUCUAUUAAAUUAAAACCAAUAAAUAAUAGUUGUUAAGCUCUGUUUUUUUUUCAUUUUACUUAAGACAGAUAGAUAAAAUAAAAAAGUUUCAGCAAAUUUUUGCCAUUGAAUUAACCCCCCACCUCUUUAAAGUGCAUUUUUACACUGAUAAUGAUUAAAGAUACUUUUUGAUAAAAAAAAAAGAUAUAUAACGCCAAAAAAAGUAAAUCAUAAAAUAGAAAUAAUACUUUAAAAAAAUAAUAAAAAUAGUGAUAAUAAUAAAACUAAUACUGCUACUGUAACUAAUAAUAAAAACGAUCAUUUAAUAACAACAAUAAAAAUAAAUUUCUUAUAACACCCAACCCUAACCCAAACCCUAAUUACAUCAAUUGAAUUAUUGCUAAUACUUAUAUACUACACUACUACCACUACUACUACUAUUACUACUCCUAAUAAGAAUAAUAUUAGAUCAUUUUAUUUAUACUUCUACGGUUAUCAUUAUUAUUUUUUUUCAUUAUUUUUAUUGUUAUUAUUGUAAGAAAGAAAAAUGUUAAUAAUGUUAAUAGUAAACAUUAGAAAUAAUGUUAAAUAUAAGUGCAUUUAAAAUGGUGGAUGAUACUUAAUUUAUUAUCAAUAUAAUGAAACUAAUAAUUGACAAUAUUUUGAUAACAAUCAGAAAAUGUAGAGGCCACAGAACAUCUCACACAGAACAUUCAGAGGUUUUAGCAUCAACUUCCAUUAAUAUUGAACAUAAACAUAUUCACCGUUAUUUAAGUACAUAUCUUUGUUAACAGAUGAAUGUAUUUCAGAGUUAAACUAGUGAUGGAUUGUGCCCACCUGCAACAGAAACAAGCAUGUUUUAGAAAUUAAGGGUUAAAAACAGUUAAAGGGUGAAGAACCUUGGAAACAGUUGAAGUAACAUAUGGAGGGAGAAAGUUCAUGCAGAUAUAGGAGGCUGACGGAUGUCUUUUUAACCCAGGAUAUCAGAUUUACUUUCCUAUAUGUACCCAAAAGUCACUGUUGAUUCAUUGUUUAAACUCUAAACUAUAAUCUCUGUACGGUAAAAGAUACCGAGGUAAUUGACUGAAAGAGCCAGGUGUGGUCAUAGUCAUAGUUUUCAAGACACCCUACAUACAUACUGUUCAUGGAAGCAGCUGUGAAAACCAGUAAAGCCACUGUUCAGAGCAAAGCUAUCAUGAAGCUCUUUCCUCCUCUCCACCAAACAGCUGAGAGAGCUGCAGAGAGAGAAAGAGAGAGAGAGAGAAAGAGAGGCUGAAAGAAUAGGAGAUGAGAAAGGAGGUGGAGUAGGAGGAGAAGUAGGAAAAAGGAGGAGCGGGGUGAUACCAUUUAAAUUGAUUCCACGACCUGCGGGCCCUGCAUCCUGUCACGCUUUCUUGCAGCUCCGCUCCUUUGCCAUUCCCAUCCAGGGAGCACAUCUGAGAAGACCUGCAGCUCUUUUCCUUCCAUUUUCUCUCCAAGGAAAGGUAUUUUCAUCCCUGGGUAUUUCACAGCUCCUCCAUGGCCACCCCCCAACCUCAUUCUCUUAUCUCCCACACUGUCACAACCAUUCAGCUCCUGUAGGCUUCAGCAGACAGCCUGAGCUUACUGUGUUUUUUUCACAGAAAAACUCUGAUUUUUCACUUCUCUCCCACCAUAUUUCCUUUUAAUGCCUCCAUCUCUCUCCCCAGCCACCUCGGCAUGAAUUCCCUUCACAUUUCCAGUUCCUUCUCUAACUUUGUCCCCGUCUUAAUGACUUCCCUUCACAUCUCUCCCCUUCUAUCUUUGUUCCUCUCCUUGCCACGUGUUCUCUCUCCUUCUCUCUCUCUUUUCCUCUCUGCCUCUGACUUGAGUGCCAUUUGAUGAGACCUGGAUUGAGAGCGGUGGAGUAUCGGUGCCGUGCAGCAGUGCACCCAAGAGAGGAUGUCAGAGGAAGAGACAGGCCCUCUUCACAUUAAAUAUCAUCUGACACCUAAUCUGCCGCACCUUCUGCCUCUGAUGAGAGGUGGAGGAUGGGAGUGCUCUCUGUACUCCAGGAAAUAACCCCAAUUUUUCGCUCUUUCGUUCAUGCGGUGGAGUAAUUAAUACAUCAAGGAAAAAGCUAGGAGCAAAGAAACGGGGAGGAAAUUGGAACAGACUUUCAAAAAGCGCCCACUUUCACCCAGAAACCAACCGGGGGGCGCAACCACGUCAGAGACAACAACUUAAAACCUUUGUCUUCCUCUC